rnacentral:rRNA from 1 species
GAUGAACGCUGGCGGCGUGCCUAAUACAUGCAAGUCGAGCGAAUGGAUUAAGAGCUUGCUCUUAUGAAGUUAGCGGCGGACGGGUGAGUAACACGUGAGUAACCUGCCCAUAAGACUGGGAUAACUCCGGGAAACCGGGGCUAAUACCGGAUAAUAUUUUGAACUGCAUGGUUCAAAAUUGAAAGGCGGCUUAGGCUGUCACUUAUGGAUGGACCCGCGUCGCAUUAGCUAGUUGGGGAGGUAACGGCUCACCAAGGCAACGAUGCGUAGCCGACCUGAGAGGGUGAUCGGCCACACUGGGACUGAGACACGGCCCAGACUCCGACGGGAGGCAGCAGUAGGGAAUCUUCCGCAAUGGACGAAAGUCUGACGGAGCAACGCCGCGUGAGUGAUGAAGGCUUUCGGGUCGUAAAACUCUGUUGUUAGGGAAGAACAAGUGCUAGUUGAAUAAGCUGGCACCUUGACGGUACCUAACCAGAAAGCCACGGCUAACUACGUGCCAGCCGCCGCCGUAA